UGUGAUGUAAACAACAAUAUCUGACACCAGAUACUAGAUACCAUGUGAUGUAAACAACAAUAUCUGACACCAGAUACUAGAUACCAUGUGAUGUAAACAAUAUCUGACACCAGAUACUAAAUACCAUGUGUUGAAACAACAAUAUCUGACACCAGAUACUAGAUAACAUGUGAUGUAAACAACAAUAUCUGAUUCUAAACUGGCUCAUGUGUAAACAACAAUAUCUGACACCAGAUACUAGAUACCAUGUGACGUAAACAACAAUAU